GCGCGUCGAGGGCGCCGGCGGGCGGGUUUGAAUCUGGUCCGAGCGCGGGAAACGGCGGGUCCUGGGGAUGAGGGCUGCAGAAUAAAUGUCUCAGGAAAGACAGUGUGGUCUGCCAUGGAAAAACGGGAGACGUUUGUACAAGCAGUGUCUAAGGAGCUGAUUGGAGAAUUUUUGCAGUUCAUUCAACUUAAUAAAGAUGCUUCUGACCCUUUCAAUCUAAAUGAAUUGCUAGAUGAAUUAUCAAGGAAACAGAAAGAAGAGUUAUGGCAAAGGCUCAAGAAUCUGUUAACAGACGUGUUGUUGGAGAGCCCGGUGGACAGGUGGCAGCCGGUGGAAGCCCUCGGUGAAGACAGUAUGCAAACAGAGCAGGGUUCAAAAAUGGGGAAGAACAUAGAAAUAAUUCAUGCCAUUACAUCUGUGAUUCUUGCUUCUGUAUCUGUAAUAAACGAAAACGAGAACUAUGAAGCCUUACUGGAGUGUGCUGUCAUAUUGAAUGGGGCACAACGGUUUGGAUUAACACCCUUGGUGUCCCAGGAGAAAUGUGCAUGAAUGCCUCGGGCGCGUUGACCAUGAGCGAAUCCUCGCUGCACAGCUGGAUCUGGAAACGCUACGGUCCACGUCACUCACAGCGCAGCGUCUGCUCCGUUGUAGGUAUUUUAUACGCCUUACCCGAGUCUGAACGCGCGCUGCAGGGUUCCAUCCAGGAUCUGUGUGUGACAUGGUGGGAGAGAGGCCUGCCUGCCAAGGAAGACAUGGGCAAGACCGCUUUCAUCAUGCUGCUGAGGAGGAGUCUCGAGACGAAAACGGGUGCAGACAUAUGUCGGCUUUGGCGUAUCCAUCAAGCUUUGUAUUGUUUUGAUUAUGAUUUGGAGGAAAGUAGAGAAAUUAAAGACAUGCUGCUUGAGUGCUUUAUAAACAUUAAUUAUAUCAAGAAAGAAGAGGGGAGAAGAUUUCUUAGUUCUCUCUUCAAUUGGAAUAUAAAUUUUAUUAAAAUGAUCCAUGGGACCAUUAAAAACCAAUUACAGGGAUUACAAAAAUCUUUGAUGGUACACAUCGCAGAAAUUUAUUUCAGAGCUUGGAAAAAGGCUUCAGGGAAAAUAUUGGAGGCCAUCGAAAACAGCUGCAUCCAGGACUUCAUGUACCACGGGGUCCAUCUUCACCGGAGGUCUCCAGUGCACGCCAGGGUGCGCGAGAUACUGAGCUAUUUUCAUAACCAGAAGAAAGUUCGGCAGGGAGUGGAAGAGAUGCUUUACAGACUGUAUAAGCCCAUCCUCUGGAGAGGAUUAAAGGCCAGAAACUCGGAAGUCCGGUCCAAUGCUGCCUUGUUGUUCGUGGAAGCGUUUCCUAUUCGGGAUCCAAACUUCAACGCCGUCGAGAUGGAUAGCGAGAUCCAGAAACAGUUUGAAGAACUCUAUAGCCUUUUAGAAGAUCCUUAUCCGAUGGUCCGUUCCACAGGGAUCCUUGGUGUUUGUAAAAUAACUUCCAAAUACUGGGAGAUGAUGCCUCCGACCAUCCUCAUUGAUCUCCUCAAGAAAGUGACGGGGGAGCUGGCAUUUGAUGCGAGCUCAGCUGACGUGCGCUGUUCUGUCUUUAAGUGUCUGCCGAUAAUUUUGGAUAAUAAACUAAGCCACCCAUUAUUAGAACAACUUCUGCCGGCCUUAAAAUACUGUCUCCAUGACAAUUCGGAGAAAGUGAGAGUGGCUUUUGUUGACAUGCUGCUGAAAGUUAAGGCCGUGAGGGCUGCUAAGUUUUGGAAAAUCUGCCCCAUGGAGCACAUCCUGGUUCGCCUGGAGUCGGACUCGCUGCCCGUCUCGCGGCGCCUGGUGGGGCUGGUCUUCAGCUCCUUCCUGCCCGUGAACCAGCCCGAGGAGGUGUGGUGCGAGCGCUGCGUGGCGCUGCUGCAGAUGAACGGCGCGGCCGCGCGGCGCUUCUACCAGCACGCGCACGAGCACACGGCCUGCGCCAACAUAGCCAAGCUGAUCCACGUGAUCCGCCACUGCCUGAACGCCUGCAUCCGGAGGGCCCUGAGCGCCUGCGGGGAGGACGAGGAGGAGCGCGGGAAGGAGAACGCGAGCGUUCUGGACCAAACGCUGUCAGUAAGCGACACUGCGUCCAUGGCAGGCUUGCUAGAGGUUGUCGUGAUUCUCUGGAGAAGCAUCUACCGGAGCUUGGAGAGCAACAAAGAGGCCCAAGGCUACACCGUCAGCAAGUUCGCCUCUGUGCUGCCCGAGUACAUGAAAGUGUUCAAGGAUGACCGCUGCAAGACCCCUUUGUCCAUGCUGGCCUCCCUGAUGCCUGCCUCGGCCGUGCCCGCCUUCAGCUGUGGUGUGAUUUCAACACUAAGAAACCAAGAGGAAGGAACGGCCGACAAGAGCUACUGCAUCUUGUUGGACUGUCUCUGCUCCUGGGGACACGUGGGACACGUCCUGGAGCUUGUCCUCGACUGGCUGCCAGGGGAGCCGCCUCAGAGCAAGAGUAACUCGGCGUCUAAGCGGAAGGUGCGGCUCCAGGACCCACGCCCGGUCAAACCCGGAUUGGCGCUGGUCUAUGUGGAAUAUUUGCUGACCCACUCGAAGAACCGAGAGUGCCUGCUCUCCGCUCCCCAGAAGACCCUGGACCGUCUUCUGAAAGCCCUGGAGGCGUCGAAGGUGGCUCUGGAAUCGAUUUUGCAGUGGCCGGAAGAGAGCCCUGACCGCCUGAGCGAAGGAGCUGCCCUGCGCGCCUUCAGCCUGCACUGUCGGUUGAGUGUCCACCUUCAGCACAAGCUUUGCUCAGGAGGCACCGUGUACCUGUCCACUUUGGAAGACACUGGGUUUUGGUUAGAAAGCAAAGUUUUAUCCUUUAUGCAAGAUCAAGAAGAAGAACAUCUGAAGCUUCGCAGGGUCGUUUAUCAGCAGAUUAUCCAGACCUACCUGACUGUGUGUAAGGACGUCGUGAUGGUCGGCCUUGGCGACUGCAAGUUUCAGAUACAGCUUUUACAGCGGAGUCUUGGAAUCAUGCAAACAGUGAACGGGUUCUUUUAUGUUUCGCUGCUUCUCAGCAUUCUGAAAGAAGUAACUAGAAGUGCCCUGAUGCAGAAAACAGAUUCAGGGGAAGACGUUGCAACCCUGUUUGAUAUGGUCCAGAAAGUAUUUCAGCAGAUGUUGGAAUGUAUGGCUCGGAGCUUCAGGAAGCAACCAGAAGAAGGCUUGCGGCUCCUUUACUCCGUUCAGACGCCUCUUCAGGAAUUUAUCACCACCGUGCAGUCGUGGCACCCGGGCACGCCCGUCCACCGGGGCGUGCUCUCCACUCUGAUCGCCGCGUCUGUGGUCGAGAUCAGUCACUGGCUCCAGAAGGUUUCCGACACUGAAGAGGUUGCUCCCCCAGAGUGUCUUUCAGACCUCCCGCCAUUCUCUCGGUGUUUAAUAGGAAUCGUGAUGAAACCUCCCAACGUAGUCAGGUCAUUUUUAGAUGAAUUGAAGGCCUGUGUCACUUCUGAGGACAUUGAAGGCAUUGUAUGUCUCACAGCUGUUACACACAUUAUCUUGGUUAUCAAUAAAGGUAAACAUAAGAGUUCCAAAGUGAAGGAUGUGGCAGCUACUGUGCACAGAAAACUAAAGACAUUCAUGGAAAUUACUUUGGAAGAAGAUAGCUUGGAAAGAUCUGUAUCAGCCCCUACGUGGCCCCUUGUGACGUGUGGAACAAUUGAGUCUGAAUCGAAGUGUGGCCCAGGUGUAAGGUCACGCGGGCUCUGACGCUGAUGGGCAGACCCUGUGGGUGAUGCGUUGCGCUGGGGGCAGCUGACUUCCCUCGGUGUUGGGUCAGAUUCCUCUACGAAUCAUCAUCGAGAACUUUGGGAGCGCUUUUGAAUUCGUGACCAAGCCAGCGUCUUUGGCCUUGUAAACAGAGAAAAGGGACUUGGCGAGUGAAUGUGUAUUUUCCUAGUGUUUUUAAUGCUGAUAGCCCAUAUAAAUGGAAAAAGGGUGCCGUUCAUGUCGGGGUGGGUAUGAGUAGAAAACUCAAAGGUUCUUAAUUGUUUGCCUCGUGCCUGUAUAAAUAAUAUAUUUAACUUAAAGAACUCCAGGUAUCAAUGGUGCAGAAACCUGUGGUGCAAAGGAAAAAAAAGACACUUUUCUAGCAAACCUGGUUGUUUUAAAAAUGACUUUUAUAUAUAAUAUUGCUUGCAAGCUAUGAGUAAUAAAGCCGUGACAGUAUCUA